rnacentral:rRNA from 1 species
UAGGGAAUCUUCCACAAUGGACGCAAGUCUGAUGGAGCAACGCCGCGUGAGUGAAGAAGGUCUUCGGAUCGUAAAACUCUGUUGUUAGCGAAGAACACGAGUGAGAGUAACUGUUCAUUCGAUGACGGUAUCUAACCAGCAAGUCACGGCUAACUACGUGUCAG